AGAACCUGUGUGAGUUUUGUUGAGUCAAAUUAAAAGCACUCUUCUCGCAUGCGACUGAGGCAAAGUUCAACUUCAGACAACUGCAUAUAUUGUACGAACUGGGACCCGAAUCUGUACAGCACUACUGAAUGAGCAUGCGCUGUACCGUCAACGCUCCAGUUUCUUCCUGCUUGUCUAGACAAGAGAUGUGUCGUACUUGGUUGGGGAACAUUCAAAGGAUCUCACCGUCCGUGCGGAUCCGAAAACUAUCAAGCACAUGACGUAGAAGUGGUCAGCAGAAAAAACUGUAGUGAAUAUUAUGGUGCACACAUGAUCACAGAUAGAAUGAUUUGUGCCAAGGCAAGGAACGAAACUACGGCGAAUUGUCUGGGCGACACUGGAGGUGAGAUGUACAAAAUUUUCUCAUAAAAUUUCGAGGGGUUGGUGGCAGUGUUGAUUUAGUACAAACAGCAGAGUUUUAUAGCAGAUACAACACCAGAAGCGGCGGAGCAGGGGGCUAGGGGGCUAUUGUAGUAUAGAAGUAAAAGUGUGUGUGUGGUUGGGGGGUAAGCCCCAUUUCUCCCCCGGAAACGAUCAGGUAAAACAGAAAUAUGAAGAUACUCGAUCUUUAUCUAGAAUGCAAAGUGAACAAAAUUACCAACAUUGUGGUCCAAUGAAAUAUUUGGGCAGGGGGGGGGGGCACUUCAGCACCCGUCACAGUUUAGAUUAAGUCACGUAUUUGGCUUCUUUAGGUCCGCUGGUCUGUGAAAUCGCAGGAACAUGGACUGUAGUUGGUGUAACAACUUGGGGCAUUGGCUGCAGCUUGACUCGGAAAUAUGGCAUAUAUACAGAUGUUGGGAGAAUGAAACCUUGGAUAGACAUCGUUUCGAGAGAAAAUCAAUACUCAUAAUAAACAAUAUUUUACUCACUCGUUUGUAAAAUAUUGUUCUCACCACUCGAAGAUAAAGGCAUAUCUUCGCGCCGCCGUGUAAUAUCCUCUAUAGACCCAUUGCACAUGACGUCACAGCGCCGGUGACAAUGCAUCUGGAGGACAAAUUAUAUUAGCAAUCUAUGCAUAAUAUAACAUUUAAUUUGUAAACAAAGCAAAACAAAAUCAGUAAAAAGUGGUCUGAAAAACAGUAAAAGUAACCGGGCCUUUUAAAUACGUUGAUUUUGAUUGGCUAUCUUAUUUUCUAACCCAAACUCUUCCAAGCUUGGUGGGAUUAACGAAUCAUUUGGCUCUUUAUGAAAAAUGAAAAAAGUCGCUGAAAAUGGACGAAAAGUAAAGGCUAUAGCCUUUUCUCAAAGUCGCUAAAAAAGUAAAUAGCCUUCACUUUUCGUCGAUUUUUAGCGACUUUUCUCAUUUUUCGUAGACUUUUUCACUUUUCAUAAAGGGCAAAAAAUAG